GGUGUGGUUUGAUGUUCUGCAGUAUGCUAGCAGAGACAUUCAAUUUACUUAACUACUGUUUAUUUGUCAUUUGUGUUGGUUGCAAUAUAAAGCAUGUGGUUUGAUGUUCACAGUAUGCUAGCAGAAACAUUCAAUUUAGUUAAAUAUUUUAAAAAAAAACUAUAUGUUAUUGUGGUGUGCACGAAGGAGGUACUAUGUCUAAGAAAAAGAAAAUGAAAUGGCCACACAUAUAUCAACAUUAUGCUACGAUCUCUUUUACAACAUUGUGGAAGAGGCAGAUAGUGGAAAAACUGCAGUGUGCACUCUUGUUCUCGGCGAUGGUCAAAAAUAUUACUUCCUCCUUUCUUUAAUAUAUGAUAUAUGAUGUUUUGGACAAGCUAAUUAGUUUAAAUGAACUAUUUAGCUUCUCUUAAACCUCGUACAUUUAAGGAUAGAUAUAUUCCAUCUCAGCAAUUUUCAGGUUGUUUUGUCCUUUCUGUCUAAUUACAACCUUGAUGGUUGAAAAACUCAUUUACCAGGAACUUUCAUAACCACUGACAUAUGAGGACAAAAAGUGAUGGCAGAUAUUCCAUCAGUAUGACAAAGAGGAUACUGAAAUCUUCUAUGUAAAUAAUGCCAAGAUGCAUUUGGGAACUUUCAAAACCACUGAUAUAGCCCGUUCGGUUGCGCUUGCUGGGGCUGGGCUGGCUGGUUCCGUCGCUGAUUCCGUCCAGCGCUGGUUGCCUGGUGCUACGUGUCGCCGCAGGCAGAGCCGCAGCUGCCUCGGUGCCACUUACGGCGAGACGGGCGGUGUUACUCACUCGUCAACCACGAGUCGAGUGCGAGGACCGAACCAGCCAGCCCAGCCCCAGCAAGCACAGCCGAACAGGCUGAUAUGAGGACAAAAGGUGAUGGCAGAUAUUCCAUCAGUCAUGACAAAGAGGAUCAUGAAAUCUUCUAUGUAAAUAAUGUCAAGCAUUUGAGGGUAUAGAAAUUCGAUGUAAAAAAUCUUCCAUGUAAAAAUUUAAUCUUUGAAAACUGUUGAUGAUUGGACAUUCAAAGCAGAUAUCAUAUGAAAAGGUUGGCCACUGCUUUGCCAGGACAUGGGUUGCAGGAGAUGGAUUUCUAUCACUGCCUUCUGUGUGGAAUGCUGUAAGCCUUGAGGCUGGCUUGGAGGUAAUAGAGGUGGCAGUUAGCACA